UCGAGGAUCUUCGGCAAUGGGCGCAAGCCUGACCGAGCGACGCCGCGUGUGCGAUGAAGGCCUUCGGGUUGUAAAGCACUGUCGAGGGGGAGGAAGCCCGCAAGGGUUGACCAAUCCCUGGAGGAAGCACGGGCUAAGUUCGUGCCAGCAGCCGCGGUAAGACGAACCGUGCGAACGUUGUUCGGAUUCACUGGGCUUAAAGGGCGCGUAGGCGGGCCGUCCCGUCAGGGGUGAAAUCUUUCAGCUCAACUGGAAAACAGCCUCUGAUACCGACGGUCUCGAGGGGGGUAGGGGCAUCCGGAACUUCCGGUGGAGCGGUGAAAUGCGUAGAUAUCGGAAGGAACGCCGGUGGCGAAAGCGGGGUGCUGGACCCUUUCUGACGCUGAGGCGCGAAAGCCAGGGGAGCAAACGGGAUUAGAUACC
rnacentral:rRNA from 1 species